GUCCCCGUAGAUCAUGGUCGAUCGUCCCGCUACCAUUAAGCAUCGGAGCAGUGCUUUGGGAAGUGGCGGUUCGAUUCCGCCCGGGGACG